GACUAGGUUACUUACUAUUUUUAUCAAUGUACAGCCUUUAAAGGAAAAUGUAUCGAAUAUACCAUCGCCACCACAACCAAAUGAUUUCUCUUCCCCAUUAAGUCCUCUUUGGAAACUUUGAUUGCACAGAGACCUAGGAAGAACUGCAGAGAUGUUAAACCCUACAUUCCCCUGCCUCAAAAAUAAGAGCAAACAUGCAUUUCUAUAGACUUCAAAACCUGUCUGUAUUUUCCUCUUUAUGAAGCAGAAAUUCUCUCCGCUUUGUGCAAAGAGUGGCAUGAUCAAAAGCACAAACUGAGCACAUGAGAGCAAGAAGCUCUAACGCAGAACCUAACCGUGGACCUCAGAUAUGAAGUAUAAGGAGUCUUCUCUCAGUGUGGAAGACCUGAAAAGGACUAAGUGACCUUUAAGGAUCUCUUCCAACUCAAAGGACUCUAUGAUUUCCUGUCUCUUAUCUCAGGACCUCUCAAUGCUCAUUUUUGCUUAUUUGCUCAUUUUUAUGAUGACGUAACUUGGACAAAAUGUGUUGAAAUGUUAUUUUCAAAACCUCCUUGACCAGUUGAGGACUAUUUCUUUCCAACAGCUUCAAACAAAGAGCAUCUACUCCUACAUCCCCUCCUAUACCCAAAGGGAACAAAGCAGGAGGCAUUUCACUAAUGCAAAGAACGAUUAUAUCAAAACCAGUGACUCUCCACUAAAUUCCACUUACAGAAACAUAGUGCAUCCCGUGUGAUGAUCGCUUCCGCACUGGCAGGGGCCCACAAGCACUACUCUUGGCUCCACCUGAGACCAUUCAAUCCCUAUGCUGAGAGCACCACCCAAAUGCAACCCAAGCUGUGCCAGGCCCAGAGCCAUGAGCACCUCCUUGGGGAGCUCAUCGCAGUUACACGUAGAAUGGAACCUUGAACUGGAAAGGCAGUAACACACAUGAGCAAGUAGUGAUGGCAGAGCAACCAAGAGAGAAUGGCAUCUGCCGGGGCUGACCCCCAGCCGUCAGGGCAGGGAGCCUGCGACAGCGUGCAGGGAGGGCAGCACCCCUGCCUGGGGAUGAGGUUCCAAGCAGUGCUGGGACCAGGACAGAGAUACCACGAGGAAGGCAGCAUUACUUAAGGGAGAAGACGACUGUCGUUCGUGCGCCCCCCUUUAGAUGCUGAAAGACCACUAUCAUAUCUCCCCGGAACCUUCUCCAGGCUGAACAGCCCCAGCUCUCUCAGAUUGUCCUCAGAGGAGAGGUGUUCCAUCCCUUGGAUGUUUUUUGUGUCCCUCCUCUGGACCUGCUCCAACAGCUCCAUGUCUCUCCUGUACUGAGGACUCCACAUCUGCACGCAGUACUCCAGUGCGAGGCUGAGUUGUCCUAGUGAAGAACAGUGAGGAUGUUUUGCACUACAGAGACAAGUACAAACUUCGCUGUUAGUCAAGGGAUGGGAAGCUCCACCAGUCGAAGGAACCUACAGCCCUGCAAGCACACCUCGCCUUGAUUGCUGAUCUCAGAUCUGCAAUUGCAUAAUUACCGAACUGAGAGAAAAUUACUUUUUGCUUGAGAGUGCUGGGACAGCUCUGAAUCCAUGAAUGACUCCCCUCAGGCACUGGUGUUUAAUUUAUGAGCUAUUUAUCUCCUUGCACACACCCCGGCACAAACAAUUAUACUUAGUAAUUUGUUGAUCUUAUCAAGGCUGUUUGAUGUUACUGUUGCUACCUCCAAUAACGCUGUGCUUUGAAACUUAAGCAGGGUUUAGAACCAAACUCGGCUACUUUGCACACAAUUCACAUUUCAGAAGUUUAACCCUUUGGCAGCUAAACGGCUUUCCAUGCCAUCUGUAAAGGUGAGCAAAAGUUCCAUCUGCUGCAGCCCAGCUGGCAGUGCAGCCCCUCGGCAGCAGCGGGCGCCCUUCGGCCAGGGGCAGUUCUGGACAACAGCCUCCCUGACUGCCAAAAAGGAGGACUGCAUUGACCUUUAAACUGUUGCACGUUUACCAUCAACAGAACUCAAUGGAUGCCUUUGUACGCCUCACCCUUGUCCCUGGUUCUAAGGAUCAGGAACCAAACUUGGGGCUUGGGCCAUACCUUACGCACAACAGCUCCUCUGCAUGUCCUUGACCAGAAGGUGCUCACAAGCAGCUCUCCCAGGUCCCCUCACAAACCUGCCAUCUUCCUUGAGUGCUGCCACAGCCACUGGGCUCACCAACACACAGCUGGAUAACGUGGGGACAAGCAAUACAGACAGUGCAGUGAUUUAGCAUGGCGCUUUCAAGCCCAGCCUUAAAUCAGACACAGUGAUGGAGCUGGUCGUGCUGCUGCCAGCAGAGGGGGGAGGAGAAGGAGAAGGAGGUCAGGGUCAGCUCUGCACUGAGCUCACACACAGCACAACUGGCACCUCCUGUGCUGCAGCCCAGGUGAGCAGGGACAGAGCCCCGGUCAGUGCCGGCAGAUCUUCUGCCAUCAGCAUCCCCAGGGAAACCCACCCGCACUCAGACAUACCCACACAUUACCUCAGCCAUCUGAACUCCUCCUGCUGUGCAGAUUUCCUGCCCUGCAGGGCCCAAAGCCAAGGAGCGAAGCAGGAAGAUGUCUGUGCCUCAGCCCCACGUGAUGUCCCAUGCUCAGAUACGUUUUGUCAACUUCUGCAUCGCAUGUGCUCUCGCAAUAGCAGCAGAUUUUGUUUUCUAUAUGGUUUAUAAAGCUUUCCCGUG
ensembl:lncRNA